GACGAACGCUGGCGGCGUGCUUAACACAUGCAAGUCGAACGGAACGGCCCUGCUUUUUUGGGGUGCUCGAGUGGCGAACGGGUGAGUAACCCGUGAGUAACCUGCCCUUGACUUUGGGAUAACUUCAGGACACUGGAGCUAAUACCGGAUAGGAGCUCCUGCUUCAUGGUGGGGGUUGGAUAGUUUCGGCGGUUGGGGAUGGACUCGCGGCUUAUCAGCUUGUUUGUUGGGUAGUGUCUUAGCAUGGCCUUGAGGGGUAGCCGGGCUGGGAGGGUGAGCGGCCAAGCUGGGACGGGGAUGAGGCCCAGACUCGUACGGGAGGCAGCAGUGCGGAAUAGAGUACAAUGGGCGGAAGGCUAGUGUGGUCACGCCGCGUGGGGGGUGACGGGAAGCGGGUAGGGAAGCGCAUUCGCCUGUGACGAGGCGUGAGUGACGGUAAUGGGUAAAGAAGCACCGGCUAACUACGUG
rnacentral:rRNA from 1 species